UCGGAUAUGGUGCAAUGGAUAGCGCGGUCUCGUAAAUCCCCGUAUGGGCCGGGAUGAGGCAGAUCGAGGUUCGAUUCCUUGUGUCCGUG